CGUACAAGCAGUGGGAGCACGCUUAGGCGUGUGACUGCGUACCUUUUGUAUAAUGGGUCAGCGACUUAUAUUCUGUAGCAAGGUUAACCGAAUAGGGGAGCCGAAGGGAAACCGAGUCUUAACUGGGCGUUAAGUUGCAGGGUAUAGACCCGAAACCCGGUGAUCUAGCCAUGGGCAGGUUGAAGGUUGGGUAACACUAACUGGAGGACCGAACCGACUAAUGUUGAAAAAUUAGCGGAUGACUUGUGGCUGGGGGUGAAAGGCCAAUCAAACCGGGAGAUAGCUGGUUCUCCCCGAAAGCUAUUUAGGUAGCGCCUCGUGAAUUCAUCUCCGGGGGUAGAGCACUGUUUCGGCAAGGGGGUCAUCCCGACUUACCAACCCGAUGCAAACUGCGAAUACCGGAGAAUGUUAUCACGGGAGACACACGGCGGGUGCUAACGUCCGUCGUGAAGAGGGAAACAACCCAGACCGCCAGCUAAGGUCCCAAAGUCAUGGUUAAGUGGGAAACGAUGUGGGAAGGCCCAGACAGCCAGGAUGUUGGCUUAGAAGCAGCCAUCAUUUAAAGAAAGCGUAAUAGCUCACUGGUCGAGUCGGCCUGCGCGGAAGAUGUAACGGGGCUAAACCAUGCACCGAAGCUGCGGCAGCGACGCUGAUGCGUUGUUGGGUAGGGGAGCGUUCUGUAAGCCUGCGAAGGUGUGCUGUGAGGCAUGCUGGAGGUAUCAGAAGUGCGAAUGCUGACAUAAGUAACGAUAAAGCGGGUGAAAAGCCCGCUCGCCGGAAGACCAAGGGUUCCUGUCCAACGUUAAUCGGGGCAGGGUGAGUCGACCCCUAAGGCGAGGCCGAAAGGCGUAGUCGAUGGGAAACAGGUUAAUAUUCCUGUACUUGGUGUUACUGCGAAGGGGGGACGGAGA
rnacentral:rRNA from 1 species